CAAUCACCUUUAGUAUGUGAACACACAAUAUUCCAUCUUUAUUGAACUUUCCAUAGAUGCAACUAAAUUCCUCUUUCCUUUGAGUAAGGUAUGUUAGAACUAUAUAUCUCCUGAUUCUUUCCCGCUUCUGAAUUUGAUUGGACUUGUACCAUACCUCAAAGUACUUGCCCUCUUCUAUUUCCUUGUAUUUAUAUUUUUCUGCCAGCUUCAACUGAUUCAUGAAUUUCAGGAAUAUAUUUCUAUUGUACAACUCCAUUGCUUUCUAUUCAAUUGUGUACCCGUAGUACAAUUCUUUUGGUUGCUUUUGUUUGGUUUGAUUAUCCUCUAUUUCUUCCUUGUUUCUGAUUCCAUCAACUAUUCUUUGAUAUUCCCGCAAGAAACUGACAAUGUUGUAUGUAGGACCUACAUUAUCUUUGAAUCUUGCAUUUGUCCCCUCACUUCUACCGGUGCUUUGGAUGAAAGGAAAGAACUCAUUCUUGAAAUAAAUUGGAAAGCACACCCAAAAAGGCAUGUAUACCCGUGACCAGUUAUGCCAACAAACGGUGCGAAAGGAAGAUUAUACUUGUUUGUCAUGGAAGUGCAGUCAGGCCUCCUCUCAAGUAUGACAGAAUGGCAAUCAUUUUUCUAGUUGUUCUAGUUACAUGAGCAAUGACAACUUCAAAACCAGCAAGGAAUCCAUAGAAA